rnacentral:misc_RNA from 1 species
CUCAUGUUCACCAGUUGAAGGGUAGCAGCUCUAGCAUUGGUGCUCAGAGAGUUCAGAAAGUCUGCAUUGCCUUCCGAAACUACUGCGAUGAGCAGAACACUGAAGGGUGCCUAAAAUGCCUGCAACAGGUGAAGCACGAGUACUCCCUAGUGAAAACCAAGCUUGAAACUCUGUUCAAGCUUGAGAGAAAGGUCCUGGCAGCUGGAGGAUCAAUUCCUUUGCCUAUCUGAUGAAGUGAUUAAAAACAGGCAAUAGCAGGCAAAAUGGGAUUUUGGAUAUGUAGAGGAGAUUUCCUUUUCUAUCUUCAUUGCUUCUUUUCCAUUUUCUAUCGACUACUUAAGCUCUAAAGUGUUCCAUCAGUUUUUUAGCAUAAGUUUGUACUAUAUGCAAUGUAUGAGCAAUGACAAAGAAUGUGAAUAAACCCUCCCGUUGAGCUUUGUUCUUUA